rnacentral:rRNA from 1 species
GCCUGGGGAGUACGGCCGCAAGGCUGAAACUCAAAGGAAUUGACGGGGGCCCGCACAAGCGGUGGAGCAUGUGGUUUAAUUCGAAGCAACGCGAAGAACCUUACCAGGUCUUGACAUCCUCUGACAACCCUAGAGAUAGGGCUUUCCCCUUCGGGGGACAGAGUGACAGGUGGUGCAUGGUUGUCGUCAGCUCGUGUCGUGAGAUGUUGGGUUAAGUCCCGCAACGAGCGCAACCCUUGAUCUUAGUUGCCAGCAUUCAGUUGGGCACUCUAAGGUGACUGCCGGUGACAAACCGGAGGAAGGUGGGGAUGACGUCAAAUCAUCAUGCCCCUUAUGACCUGGGCUACACACGUGCUACAAUGGAUGGUACAAAGGGCUGCAAACCUGCGAAGGUAAGCGAAUCCCAUAAAGCCAUUCUCAGUUCGGAUUGCAGGCUGCAACUCGCCUGCAUGAAGCCGGAAUCGCU